rnacentral:rRNA from 1 species
CCUACGGGAGGCAGCAGUGGGGAAUAUUGCGCAAUGGGCGAAAGCCUGACGCAGCGACGCCGCGUGAGGGAUGAAGGUCUUCGGAUCGUAAACCUCUGUCAGCAGGGAAGAACGGUCACUGUGCUAAUCAGCAGUGAAUUGACGGUACCUGCAAAGGAAGCACCGGCUAACUCCGUGCCAGCAGCCGCGGUAAUACGUAGGGUGCGAGCGUUAAUCGGAAUUACUGGGCGUAAAGCGCUCGUAGGCGGUAUGUCAAGUCAAGGGUGAAAUCCCCGCGCUCAACGUGGGAACUGCCUUUGAAACUGGCAAACUGGAGUGUGUGAGAGGAUAGUGGAAGUCCAGGUGUAGGAGUGAAAUGCGUAGAUAUCUGGAGGAACAUCAGUGGCGAAGGCGACUAUCUGGCACAUAACUGACGCUGAGGAGCGAAAGCGUGGGUAGCAAACAGGAUUAGAUACCCCAGUAGUC